rnacentral:lncRNA from 1 species
UUAAAAAGAAGGAAUCUAAGACUAUUUUAAAAAUUUCUCUCAAUGAUUUAAUAUUUGGGUUUUAUGUAUUUUAUUCCAUUUUAGCACUGUGAGAUAGCAUGAUUGCCUAAAGGACUGUAUUAAAGAUGAGUGCACAGUUCUGUCUUAUUUAUCUGCUGUCACAUUGUUUUGACACAGAAGAAAGUCAAGUAACAUUGAUGAAGAGCUAAAAUAUGCUCUAACUGUGGAAAAAAUAAAUAUAAAUUGUCCAUAGUUGCUCAAUUUCUAAAGUAAAAGGAAAAAAUACAGUGUAAGACUGUGAAUUAGUUCAGGAAGGUAAACUUAAGUAAUGUUUAUUUAACUUCAAGAUUUCAGUGGCUUAACUCAACAAAGGUCUGCUUCUUCUGCAUGUCACGGGACAAUGCUGGUUGGUAUGGAUGGCUCUUCUCCAUGCAGUAAUUCAGAGACACAGGCUUCUUUCAUCUAGUGAUUUAUUUUUCCCUGCAGCUUCAGAUACUCUUUUUCCCUCUCUCUGGGAUCCUUUGCAUCUGUCUGGCAGAUAUGGAGACGGAAAGCACAAGAGGAUUGUGUUAGGAGUCUUAAGGGCUGGAUGUGACACUCCUUGAAAGGGAAGCUGGGGAAUGAGUAUGUAGGUGUGUGUCCAGGAUGUAGGGAAAAUGGGUUUGGUGGGGACAGCACUUCCUGGAAUAACGUUGCUUUGGAUUUAACAACAGUUGGGCAAAGGAGGUCGGUAUACAGAUACAGGACAAGAAGAGUGGUGUCAAAGGGAGGCUAAAUCAUUGGUUCUGGCUUCAUCUAAGGAAUUCUUAUGAGAAAUCGAGGGAGAGACUGUCCUGGGAAGUCUGAUGAAACAUGCAUGAGUCUUCGUUGAAACCGUGGGAGGAAGAAGAGUUUUACCAAUCACCAGUGCUGAAGAAAUCUCUCCUUUCUGGGCAGGAUGAGGGAAUCACUAAAUGACGAUGUUUUCAUCUGAUAUUUAAUAUACUCCUGAGGAUAAGGAGCCUGGUUGAUAAGCAUUGCAGUUUACCAGAAACUCUGCAGAAGACUUCAGACUGGAAAAGCCAGCCAGAGUCCAGGAGGGGAGGAGGAGGAUGCAGAGGAGCCCUGGCCAAGAUGAACGGAGAUGAACUGACACUUCAGGAGACUGUGUUCUCUAAAACCAGCACUGCUGUUGGGGUACUUUACCUCUUAGAGUUAAUUAGAUGCUUAAAAGUGAAACCAUCACUCUGCCUUCAGCAGAUUUGAGGGCUGCCUCAUUUAGCUUUUCAACCUUGCAUCAGCUUGCUGCUCUUGCCUUCCAUCUGAAGUCAAGACAGUGGGGAGGGGAAAUACAUAUACAGAAGCCUUGAUAUCCAGGAAAGUGCUUCCAUCAACCUCAUUUAUCACAUGACAUUUCCUGGGAUUAUCAGUCUAGUUAAACUGAUUCCUUGACCAUGACUUACCUUGAUUCUUCUGAAAUCCACAUUUGUAACCAGCUUGGAUAAAUCAGUCACAAAUCUUGGUAGGCUAUCUGGUUAACCUACUCUAGAAAAUGAUUAUUUUAGAGAGGAGUGAUAAAAACUAUCCCUUGCAAGGAGAAGAUGAACAUAAAGUAGCUUAAAAGAGACUCAAAAGGCUUGUAGUAAGAGACGAAAGGAAAUACUUUUUGAAAGUCAGGGUUUCUAAAUAUCUAUGCUGGAAAGGGCUUAUGAGAAAAGAACUGGUAUUUCCUUUAAAAAUAAGAUAGACAUGGCUACAUCUCUAUGUGUUCAACAGCUUUUCACCGCUUGGGGUCUUAUUCCUCUUUGAGAACCUGUUGGAAGAAAUGAAGUUCUUCUGAGAAAAGAGAUGUCAGAUUUCCAUACAUGGAGUUAAGAAGCCCUGCCCUGAUUUAAGAUUGUGAAUAGUUCACAGUUAGGGAAGACCAAUGCAGUCAGGAAAAUGAAGGUGGUGAGGAAUGAGCUGAGGAAAAUAUUCGAUUGACAAACUCAGUAUUAUGUGUACUAUAUGUGUGUUUAUGUACGCCCUUUUCUGUUGGACUCACUCGUGGCACAUAGCGGCCAUUCAGUAAAGACUUGCUGGAGGAAGGAAUGAAAGCCUGAUUGUUGGGUGACUCCUAGAAAGAGGCACCCUCUAUACCAGGUUUAGAAAGACGUGAUCUAUGCCAGAGAGAGGAGUGUGAUGUCGUGGCAAGAGAAUUUGCUAUUGCUGCUGAACUUGGCUCUCUGGGGAGUUUUAGGAUACAUUGCAGCUCCAAGAUGGAAUUUCAGCCUGUGCCUCCACAGUCCCUUUAUGGGGAACUUGGGCUGGGCCUUGAUUAUGUUGUGAGACUCUCAUGGGAACACUUCUGUGGGGAACCAUGUUUUCCUCCCACAGCGUUGCUAAUUCAGAAAAUUAAAGGGACCCCCUGCCUACCUCUCAUGUUAGUUUAAAGAGAAGCUGGAUUGCUCUAUGGAAAUCCUUUUGUAGCAGAAAUCAGGACAGCUGUUUGUAAAUAGUAACCUGUGAGAAAAUACUCAAGCUCUCAAUAGGCAGAGGGAAAAGUCAGCCUUAGAGUAUAUCCUACAAGCUGUUCAAAUACUUACCCCAUGAUAAAUAAUAGCCUUCUUAAUCCUAUAAUAUUCUCUAUCAUUGUCUUUUCCCAGUGUGCCAAGAUGUGGUGUUUUACUUCGAAUCAGCUAAUGCAUGAUGCUAAUUAGCACAUUAAUUCUGUUGACUCUGUUCAUAAUAAUUAGUGUAUUGGUGGGCUCUUAGCAUAUCAAAAUGGUAUUUUUAUUCCUGCCUAAAUGUUUACUGUCAGAUAGUAGCUAGUUACUAGAGUUUGACAAUAGGAAAUGUGAUACAGAGAAUCAGACAUUCUGUGAGAAGCAACAUAUCCCCACGCAGAUUGCGUGGAAAGAGGAUGGAAAAGAAAUUCCAAACAAUGAAUGUGUGACUUAACUUGUGACCAAGUACAGUUCAACUUCUGUUGAGCAAGGGAUGCUUGUAUUAUUAUUAAUUUCACCUCUGAGUGAUGACAACAUUCUUGGCGCCAUAGGAAGUCAUAGGACAAUGUGCUUUUACACAUCUGCCAUCAUUUUCAUGAAAUCCUAACUAAUUGCUUGACUGCUGCUGAGGCAUCAGCACUUGCACUCGAUGUGGAAUUUGUCCAGCUUGGCUGUAAUUGUAUUAUUCAGUUACAUUUUAAAAAAUGAGUGUAAAUGAGGUCGAUCUGCUAAUUUCAGUAAAUUGUCAUGAAGUGGAAUGAUAGGGGAUGAUUGCUCUUUUGGAUGACACAUUGUUUAAAUGAGAACCUAAUGAUACCUGGACAAACUUCUGGAGAAAUUACCAAAUUGCUAACAUGCCAUGUGAAAUCCUUGAACACUAUUAAGAUAAUUACAGGAGAUUGAUGUGUUUGCCUUAGUUUAAAAUCUUAAUUAGCAUUGACACCAAAAGCAACAUCCCUAUGUUAAAAACACAAUGUGAAUACUAUUUUAUUAUUACCAUGGAACCUUGACCUUUCUUUCCUUCACCUAUAGCUCAAUCCUUGUCUUCCUCCAGUCCCAGGGCUCCUUAUCACAACCAUCAUUUUGAUUUUACACUGGAUUUACAUGAUACCUUUUACUGAAGUGCUUAAAUCUAGGAAAGAAUAAAUUUCUAUUGACUAGGAGUCAGAAACUUAGGGUAGAAUGAUGGAGCAUUGUUUUAUAACAGGAGCAGUUUCCAGCUUGGAUUCAAAAUACUGAUUAAAAAAAUUUGUUUUCUAUUAUGAUUGGAUCUGUACUUUCUAACGCCAAAUAUUUUAAUCCAGAUACUUUUUAUCUUGAUCCCACGCUUGCCCUUUAACCUUUACCAGAAAUUCAGAGAAACAGAGUACAUAUUUCGCCACACAAUGGUCAUCCUCACUGAAUACUUUUAUCCAGAGGUCUACAAACUAUGACCCUCCAGUCAAAUCCUACCUUGCCCUUGUUUUUGUAAAUAAAGUUUUAUUGGAACAUAACCAUGCUCAUUUGUUUAUAUAUUGUCUAUGGCUGCUUUCACACUACAAAGGCAGACUUAAGUAGUGCAACUAAGACCAUAUGUCCCAUAAGGCCCCAAAUAUUUGCUAUCUGGGCUUUUCCCAGAAAAAGUUUGCUGACCCCUGAUCUAGACUUUUAGAAACCAAGACACAAAAGAUUCUUAACAAAGAAAUAGUUUCCACAUUUGUUAAACUCUUCCAAAUAACUUUAAUACUUAACAUAAAAAUGUCAAGAAAGUAUUGUGAAAUAGUACACUGAUUUCUUUCCUAUGUUUCAAGGGAUAGUUAGACAGUAAGUCAUGGCACCAGUGAAUUGAAAAUCCAUUGUCACUGACAGAAUAUCUCUGCCGUCAGCUAAGCCUCCCACAGAAUCCAUGAUAUGGUCUGAGGAGAAAGCUGGUGUGAACGUACGGAGAGUCUCUAUAUAUACAGCAGAUCCUCUAAUAAUAUUGUCUCAUUCACUAUUGUUUAGUUUUUUUUUUUUUUUUUCCCUGAGAUGGAGUCUCUCUCAGUCUCCCAGGCUGGAGUGCA